UGAAAGCCGUAAGGUUGUAAACUUCUGUUAGAGGGGACGAAUAGCUUCGAUCAAAUCGAAGUUUGACGGUACCCUCAGAGAAAGCCCCGGCUAACUACGUGC
rnacentral:rRNA from 1 species